UUUAUUGGGCGUAAAGCGAGCGCAGGCGGAAAAAUAAGUCUAAUGUGAAAGCCCUCGGCUUAACCGAGGAACUGCAUCGGAAACUGUUUUUCUUGAGUGCAGAAGAGGAGAGUGGAACUCCAUGUGUAGCGGUGGAAUGCGUAGAUAUAUGGAAGAACACCAGUGGCGAAGGCGGCUCUCUGGUCUGCAACUGACGCUGAGGCUCGAAAGCAUGGGUAGCGAACAGGAUUAGAUACCCUGGUAGUCCAUGCCGUAAACGAUGAGUGCUAAGUGUUGGGAGGUUUCCGCCUCUCAGUGCUGCAGCUAACGCAUUAAGCACUCCGCCUGGGGAGUACGACCGCAAGGUUGAAACUCAAAGGAAUUGACGGGGGCCCGCACAAGCGGUGGAGCAUGUGGUUUAAUUCGAAGCAACGCGAAGAACCUUACCAGGUCUUGACAUCUAGUGCAAUCUGUAGAGAUACGGAGUUCCCUUCGGGGACGCUAAGACAGGUGGUGCAUGGCUGUCGUCAGCUCGUGUCGUGAGAUGUUGGGUUAAGUCCCGCAACGAGCGCAACCCUUGUUAUUAGUUGCCAGCAUUAAGUUGGGCACUCUAAUGAGACUGCCGGUGACAAACCGGAGGAAGGUGGGGAUGACGUCAAGUCAUCAUGCCCCUUAUGACCUGGGCUACACACGUGCUACAAUGGGCAGUACAACGAGAAGCAAGCCUGCGAAGGCAAGCGAAUCUCUGAAAGCUGUUCUCAGUUCGGACUGCAGUCUGCAACUCGACUGCACGAAGCUGGA
rnacentral:rRNA from 1 species